CCUACGGGUGGCAGCAGUGAGGAAUAUUGGUCAAUGGCCGGGAGGCUGAACCAGCCAAGUCGCGUGAGGGAAGACGGCCCUACGGGUUGUAAACCUCUUUUGUCAGGGAGCAAGGUGCAGGUCGGGACCUGCUGUGAGAGUACCUGAAGAAAAAGCAUCGGCUAACUCCGUGCCAGCAGCCGCGGUAAUACGGGGGAGGCGAUCGUUAUCCGGAUUGAUUGGGUUAAAAGGGUUCGCAGGCGGAGGCACAAGUCAGCGGUAAAAUCGCGGGGCUCAACCCCGCUCCGCCGUUGAAACUGUGUCCCUUGAGUGCGAGAGAGGUAGGCGGAAUGCGUGGUGUAGCGGUGAAAGACAUAGAUAUCACGCAGAACUCCGAUCGCGAAGGCAGCCUACCGGCGCGCAACUGACGCUGAUGCACGAAAGCGUGGGUAUCGAACAGGAUUAGAUACCCUUGUAGUC
rnacentral:rRNA from 1 species